UGUUUUCCAAUCCCAACAUCGAGGGGGAAAAGGUAAAACUCCGAGAAACUGCCCCACCGCCCGAUGAAAACACAGUAAUCGUUCGUAACUUGACCUUCAACUCGUUUAACUUAAGUACUGUGGUGAUUGAAUGGCUAAAACCGCUUUUCGAUGAAAGUAACGUAACAAAAUACGACAUAAUAUACAGACGAAGAGGGAAUCCGGGCAGAGGAAAGACGUUCGACCUCCAGAUUGAUGGGGAGAGGACGUCUUUUAUCAUCCAUGGCUUAAUCCCUGGUGACAAUCUAGAAGUAGAGGUGACGCCGAUAUUUGAUGCUACUGUUCUCACAGGACUUACUUCAACAAUCAUU